rnacentral:lncRNA from 10 species
CAUUCAACUCCAUUCCAUUCCAUUCCAUUCCAUUCCAUUCCAUUCCAUUCCAUUCCAUUCCAUUCCACUCGGUUUGAUUCCAUUCCAUUCCAUUCCAUUCCAUUCCAUUCCACUCCAUUCCAUUCCGUUCCACUCGGGUUGAUUCCAUUCCAUUCCAUUCCAUUUCAUUCCAUUCCAUUCCAUUCCACUCCAUUCCAUUCCGUUCCAUUCCAUUCCACUCGGGUUGAUACCAUUCCAUUCCAUUCCAUUCAGGUUUAUUCCUUUCCAUUCCAUUCCAUUCCAUUCCAUUCCAUUCCAUUCCAUUCCUUUCCUUUACAUUCG